CCCGCACAAGCGGUGAGCAUGUGGUUUAAUUCGAAGCAACGCGAAGAACCUUACCAGGUCUUGACGUCCGAUGCUAUUUCUAGAGAUAGAAAGUUACUUCGGUACAUCGGUGACAGGUGGUGCAUGGUUGUCGUCAGCUCGUGUCGUGAGAUGUUGGGUUAAGUCCCGCAACGAGCGCAACCCCUAUUGUUAGUUGCCAUCAUUCAGUUGGGCACUCUAGCGAGACUGCCGGUAAUAAACCGGAGGAAGGUGGGGAUGACGUCAAAUCAUCAUGCCCCUUAUGACCUGGGCUACACACGUGCUACAAUGGUUGGUACAACGAGUUGCGAGUCGGUGACGGCGAGCUAAUCUCUUAAAGCCAAUCUCAGUUCGGAUUGUAGGCUGCAACUCGCCUACAUGAAGUCGGAAUCGCUAGUAAUCGCGGAUCAGCACGCCGCGGUGAAUACGUUCCCGGGCCUU
rnacentral:rRNA from 1 species